rnacentral:tRNA from 1 species
GUGGGUAUAGCUCAGUUGGUUAGAGCGCCAGGUUGUGGCCCUGGAGGCCGUCGGUUCAAUUCCGACUAUUCACCCCA